rnacentral:rRNA from 1 species
UACAGAGGGUGCGAGCGUUGUUCGGAAUUAUUGGGCGUAAAGGGCGCGUAGGCGGUGCGGUAAGUCACCUGUGAAAUCUCCUGGCUCAACUGGGAGCUUGCAGGCGAAACUGCCGUGCUGGAGUGUGGGAGAGGUGAGUGGGAUUCCCGGUGUAGCGGUGAAAUGCGUAGAUAUCGGGAGGAACACCUGUGGCGAAAGCGGCUCACUGGACCACAACUGACGCUGAGGCGCGAAAGCUAGGGGAGCAAACAGG